rnacentral:rRNA from 1 species
UACAGAGGGUGCAAGCGUUAAUCGGAAUUACUGGGCGUAAAGCGUGCGUAGGCGGUAGCGUAAGUCGGGUGUGAAAGCCCCGGGCUCAACCUGGGAAUUGCAUUCGAGACUGCUCUGCUAGGGUGCGGAAGAGGGAAGCGGAAUUUCCGGUGUAGCGGUGAAAUGCGUAGAGAUCGGGUGGAACACCAGUGGCGAAGGCGCCUAUCUGGCUGACAACUGACGCUGAGACUCGAAAGCAUGGGGAGCAAACAGG